rnacentral:rRNA from 1 species
GGAUGAACGCUGGCGGCGUGCCUAAUACAUGCACGUCGAGCGAACGGACGAGAAGCUUGCUUCUCUGAUGUUAGCGGCGGACGGGUGAGUAACACGUGGAUAACCUACCUAUAAGACUGGGAUAACUUCGGGAAACCGGAGCUAAUACCGGAUAAUAUUUUGAACCGCAUGGUUCAAAAGUGAAAGACGGUCUUGCUGUCACCUAUAGAUGGAUCCGCGCUGCAUUAGCUAGUUGGUAAGGUAACGGCUUACCAAGGCAACGAUGCAUAGCCGACCUGAGAGGGUGAUCGGCCACACUGGAACUGAGACACGGUCCAGACUCCUACGGGAGGCAGCAGUAGGGAAUCUUCCGCAAUGGGCGAAAGCCUGACGGAGCAACGCCGCGUGAGUGAUGAAGGUCUUCGGAUCGUAAAACUCUGUUAUUAGGGAAGAACAUAUGUGUAAGUAACUGUGCACAUCUUGACGGUACCUAAUCAGAAAGCCACGGCUAACUACGUG